rnacentral:rRNA from 1 species
UACGUAGGGUGCAGGCGUUAAUCGGAAUUACUGGGCGCAAAGCGUGCGCAGGCGGUUUGCUAAGACAGGUGUGAAAUCCCCGGGCUUAACCUGGGAACUGCGCUUGUUACUGGCAGGCUUGAGUGUGGCAGAGGGGGGUGGAAUUCCACGUGUAGCAGUGAAAUGCGUAGAGAUGUGGAGGAACACCGAUGGCGAAGGCAGCCCCCUGGGCUAACACUGACGCUCAUGCACGAAAGCGUGGGGAGCAAACAGG